rnacentral:rRNA from 1 species
AAUGAACGUUGGCGGCGUGGAUUAGGCAUGCGAGUCGUGCGAGAAUCGUAGCAAUACGAGGACAGCGGCGCAAGGGAGAGGAAUAAGUAGAAAUCUACCCUCGGAUCGGGGAUAGCGGCGGGAAACUGCCGGUAAUACCCGAUAACGUCUUUGGACCAAAGGUGUGAUUCCGUCUGAGGAUGAGUCUACUUCCUAUUAGCUAGUUGGCGGGGUAAUGGCCCACCAAGGCGACGAUGGGUAGCAGGUGUGAGAGCAUGACCUGCCUCAUUGGGACUGAGACACUGCCCAGACACCUACGGGUGGCUGCAGUCGAGAAUCUUCGGCAAUGGACGAAAGUCUGACCGAGCGACGCCGCGUGCGGGAUGAAGGCCUUCGGUUGUAACCGCUGUCGGAGGGAACGAAGUGUACGGGGUUCGUCCCUCGUAUUGUAGUGAACCUAGGAGGAAGGAGAGGCUAAGCUCGUG